rnacentral:rRNA from 1 species
GUGAGGAAUAUUGGACAAUGGGCGCAAGCCUGAUCCAGCCAUGCCGCGUGCAGGAAGACGCAUCUAUGGUGUGUAAACUGCUUUUGUACGGGAAGAAACACUCCCUCAUGAGGGAGCUUGACGGUACCGUAAGAAUAAGGAUCGGCUAACUCCGUGCCAGCAGCCGCGGUAAUACGGAGGAUCCAAGCGUUAUCCGGAAUCAUUGGGUUUAAAGGGUCCGUAGGCGGUUUAAUAAGUCAGUGGUGAAAGCCCAUCGCUCAACGAUGGAACGGCCAUUGAUACUGUUAGACUUGAAUUACAAGGAAGUAACUAGAAUAUGUAGUGUAGCGGUGAAAUGCUUAGAUAUUACAUGGAAUACCAAUUGCGAAGGCAGGUUACUACUUGUGGAUUGACGCUGAUGGACGAAAGCGUGGGGAGCGAACAGGAUUAGAUACCCGGGUAGUCC